CGUACUGGCAUUGUUGGUUUCUCCCUUCUGACGAACCAUGAUGUCAUUUAUUUGGUGUUGUGGGGAAUCAGGACUGUUACUUUGAAAAAAUUAGAGUGUUUAAAGCAGGCUCACGCUUGAAUACAUUAGCAUGGAAUAAUGAAAUAGGACGUUUGAUUCUAUUUUGUUGGUUUCUAGGAUCGACGUAAUGAUUAAUAGGGAUAGUGGGGGGCAUUAGUAUUCAAUUGUCAGAGGUGAAAUUCUUGGAUUUAUUGAAGACUAACUACUGCGAAAGCAUUUGCCAAGGAUGUUUUCAUUAAUCAAGAACGAAAGUUAGGGGAUCGAAGACGAUCAGAUACCGUCGUAGUCUUAACCAUAAACUAUGCCGACUAGGGAUCGGAUGAUGUUAAUUUUUUAAUGACUCAUUCGGCGCCUUACG
rnacentral:rRNA from 1 species